ACCUAUGUGUAUUUUGAAUAUUUUUAUUGAUUAGUCAGAAAUAAGUUUCAACUUCAAGUAUCAUUUAAUAAAUUUAGGCAUUUAUAAUGAAGUUUUUUGGUUUUAUAAUUUUCAUAGCAUUUGUUAUUCUGGUUUAUUUCUACAAAUUAACUAACGCUGAAGUGCUAAGUCACUAGUUAAAUUUCAUAAAUGACUUAAAAUGAUAAAUAAAUAAUUUUCAAUUAACUUUAUUAAAAUAUUAUUUUAUAAUAAGUGUUAUAUGUAAUAAGUGUUAAACAAAAAUAAUUCUACAUAGGAAAAGGAAUAUGUAAAUAACUAGAAAAGAGUUAAUAAUAUGAGUAAGCAUUGAUUUGCAUGUUUGAUCAUAUUUGAUUGAAUCACAAGGAAAAUGAUUGCCCUUGCCCUAGGAAAUGAUUAAUAACUUCAUGGAGAGAUUCAAUAGACCAAAUAAUUUUAAGCGUGGACAAUUUAUUCAACAGUUUUUAUGCGAAACAAAUACAUAUACAUUUUUUUAGCAUUUGUAAAUUAUUGGGUAUAUUUAUUUUUAAUAUUAAACAUAUUUUGUAUAUUAAAUUAAGUUUAUUUGGAGAAAAAUAAAAUGCCUAAAUAAUGAAAGAAAUCAUGAAUUAUAUUGUUUUCACAAGUUAUUGUAUUAAUUGUUACAUAAUUCACAUUUAUGAAUAUAUUUAAUUAUGUUAAUAAAUGUUUAUUAACAA